rnacentral:rRNA from 1 species
CACGUAGGGGGCGAGCGUUGUCCGGAAUCAUUGGGCGUAAAGAGCUCGUAGGCGGCUCAGUAAGUCGGGUGUGAAACCCUCAGGCUCAACCUGGGGACGCCACCCGAUACUGCUGUGGCUAGAGUCCAGUAGGGGAGUGUGGAAUUCCCGGUGUAGCGGUGAAAUGCGCAGAUAUCGGGAGGAACACCAGCGGCGAAGGCGGCACUCUGGGCUGGAACUGACGCUGAGGAGCGAAAGCGUGGGUGAGCAAACAGG